UCAACGAGUCUGCUCUGCUUGUUUUUUGUUAAAAGUUUCUCGGAUUAUUAUAGUGAGUGGUGCUUUUUGUGUGUAUCCUUUUGGAUAAAGAAAGACAGCGGAAAGACAGAGAGAGAGAGAGAGAGCAGCAUUGGAAAGGCAUGCAUUUUGGCUACAGAAUGACAGAGACAUGGAAACCAAAAACAAGGCAUACGAAGGGCAGUUGAAAGUCUAACCAGGACAGAAAGGCAUGAAUUUCGGCUACAGAGGCAUGAAGUUCAAAACAAGAUAACAGAAUGACAGAGACACGAAGAAAGAAGGCAUACGAAGGGUAAGUUGCUAGAUUUUUCUGCAUUUCAGAUCGCGUCGUUUGUACCGAUUCAAUACACAGUUAAAUAUGCUGGCUUGAUAAGGUACCCGUGUCGUGUAGGGGUCUAUCUUAAACGAUUACCUAAGGGUAAUCAUUGGAUUUUUCCUUGCCAACGAAAAAAGG